rnacentral:rRNA from 2 species
UAGGGAAUCUUCGGCAAUGGGGGGAACCCUGACCGAGCAACGCCGCGUGAGUGAAGAAGGUUUUCGGAUCGUAAAGCUCUGUUGUUAAGGAAGAACGAGUGUGAGAAUGGAAAGUUCAUGCUGUUACGGUACUUAACCAGAAAGGGACGGCUAACUACGUGCCAGCAGCCGCGGUAAUACGUAGGUCCCGAGCGUUGUCCGGAUUUAUUGGGCGUAAAGCGAGCGCAGGCGGUUAGAAAAGUCUGAAGUGAAAGGCAGUGGCUCAACCAUUGUAGGCUUUGGAAACUGUUUAACUUGAGUGCAGAAGGGGAGAGUGGAAUUCCAUGUGUAGCGGUGAAAUGCGUAGAUAUAUGGAGGAACACCGGUGGCGAAAGCGGCUCUCUGGUCUGUAACUGACGCUGAGGCUCGAAAGCGUGGGGAGCGAACAGG